rnacentral:rRNA from 1 species
CAGAGCGAACGCUGGCGGCAGGCUUAACACAUGCAAGUCGAGCGGGCAUCCUCGUGGUGUCAGCGGCAGACGGGUGAGUAACGCGUGGGAACGUGCCCUUCGGUUCGGAAUAACUCAGGGAAACUUGAGCUAAUACCGGAUACGUGCUUUUUGCAGAAAGGUUUAUCUGCCGAAGGAUCGGCCCGCGUCUGAUUAGCUGGUUGGUGAGGUUACGGCUCACCAAGGCGACGAUCAGUAGCUGGUCUGAGAGGAUGAUCAGCCACACUGGGACUGAGACACGGCCCAGACUCCUACGGGAGGCAGCAGUGGGGAAUAUUGGACAAUGGGGGCAACCCUGAUCCAGCCAUGCCGCGUGAGUGAUGACGGCCUUAGGGUUGUAAAGCUCUUUUCUCCGGGACGAUAAUGACGGUACCGGAGGAAUAAGCCCCGGCUAACUUCGUG